ACAAACUUGGUCAUUUAGAGGAAGUAAAAGUCGUAACAAGGUUUCCGUAGGUGAACCUGCGGAAGGAUCAUUAAUGAAUAAACACUUGAUGGGUUGUCGCUGGUCUCUCGAGACAUGUGCACGCCUAUCUUGACUUCUGUUCAUCCACCUGUGCACCUUUUGUAGUCUUGAACUUUUUAAGGGAUUGUCGAGGAAGCGGCUGCUCGGUCUAUAACAAGAUCGGACUUGAGGAUUGCUGUCAAGCUUUCUUCUGCUAAAGUCGUGAAAUCAUGCCUUUGGAAGGUUUUGAGACUAUGUCUUAUAUCAUAAACCAUGUAGUAUGUUGCCAGAAUGUAUUCAAUGGGCCUUUGUGCCUAUAAAACCUUAUACAACUUUCAGCAACGGAUCUCUUGGCUCUCGCAUCGAUGAAGAACGCAGC
rnacentral:misc_RNA from 1 species